CCAUGCUAUCAUUCCUUAAUUCAAUUAAUGCGUGAAAUUUAUUGGUUUAAGCUGGAGCCUAUGCACAGGUGUGCGAGGAGGGAUAAUCUUAGGUCUCUUUUCCCAACGUUCAUGUAAUUAUUCGCAAAGAGGAAAUGAGAGUGCUCACGGCCCAAGUUUCGGCGUCCCCAAUUCCAUGGUGCUGUCAAAGCUAAAUUCUACAGUGAUCUGACACGUUCAGUUCCACCACCGAGGAGAGAUUAGUAAAGCGUGGCAACGCCCGUAUUAAAAUGCGGUAGGAAAAAGGAGUCCAAGAGGAUUUAAGCCCGCAAGCACGACAGGUGUCUCAGCAUUUGGUCGUUUGUUAAAAUAGUCGGAACGAGUAAACUUAUUACUUUUACAUCUGCAUUUUGCACCAAAAACUUUUGAACUAGAACGACGGCAAUUUCGCUUAGUUUUCCUUACCUUUCGGUCCAGUAUAUCUUAGAGGGCAUAAGAAAUUACAGACACCGAGGGUUGGUGCAGUGAUGUAAGAUUUGCGAAAUUUCAAUCGCAGCGCGUGAGGAAAAGUGAAACUCAGGUUCCAGAAUGCAAGAUUUGCGAAAUUUCUUCCGCUCGUUUCCUCGCCGUUCAACCAUGGCCCUCAAGGACGGUUGCGUAGUCGAGGGGUAGGGUAUUCAAAAGCGGAUGGGGAAAAUAGUUCUGUUUGAGCCCACAAAUGCUGCUCUCAUUGAAAUAGCAGGUACAUGAAACAAAAUAAAUGAAAGAGAACAUAAAGAAGAACAAACCGAAGGAUGAUCACUAAAUUAAAGGGCUCAGUUCCAUAAAUUUACAUACUGAACAAUUUCCAAAAGAAAUGCAGAAAGAAGGUAUAGAGAACGUAUAACAUAAAGAAGUAUAUCCAAAGGAUCCAGCAUUGGGAAAGACGAAUAAUGAAUGAACACUUGUAUGUCGAUAAUAUAAGUUUCAUUCUUUCAUUACUUUACACGUACAAUUUUAAAACCGUAGAAUGCUACUAUUUCUUAGCUUUAAAGAGAAGCUUGCCACGUGCUAAGUUUGAACCGCGUAUUACUACACGCGUAGUCUUUCUGCAUACAUGUAUCAGGUCAACGGCAAUAUCCAAACUGUAAACUUGCCUUUGAAAUGCUCGUGACUCGUAGAUUUUUCAAUGAUCAGCAAGUGCUUUUGCUUCUGCUCCUUCAUUUUCGCGUAAAGGGGUGCAAAUGACUCACAAUCAGCGAAUACAUGUGUAUAUACUAUGUGCAGGCAGUUGAUACGUUUUUUUAAUAACAAUAAACAUUUCAAUGAAUUUAACAAGAUAA